rnacentral:rRNA from 1 species
GAUUAACGCUGGCGGCGUGCAUAACACAUGCAAGUCGAACGAUGAAACUUAAAUUAUUUCUUCGGAAUGAACUUAAGUGGAUUAGUUGCGGACGGGUGAGUAACGCGUGAGUAACCUGCCUUACACAAGGGGAUAGCCGUUGGAAACGACGAAUAAUACCCUAUGAUGUUUCUAUCUCGCAUGAGAUAUUAACCAAGGUGUUAGCGGUGUAAGAUGGACUUGCGUCUGAUUAGCUAGUUGGUGAGAAAAAAGCCCACCAAGGCAACGAUCAGUAGCCGGCGUGAGAGAGUGUACGGCCGGACUGGGACUGAGCCACGGCCCAGACGCCUACGGGAGGCAGCAGUGGGGAAUUGUGGACAAGGGGGGAAACCCUGAUGCAGCGACGCCGCGUGAUUUAGAAGGCCUUCGGGUUGUAAAAAUCUUUUGUAUAGGAAGAAAAUGACAGUACUAUACGAAUAAGGUCCGGCUAAUUACGUG